AAGUGUGGGGUGGGGCAUUGUGUGCCACAUGCCUGGGCUCCCACCUGGGCCAGUGGGCUUCAGUCUGUAGGUGACUACAGAAGGAGGAGGAGCUCCGUCUGUUCUCUCUUCAGGCAGUUGUGUCUCUCAGCGCUUGUUAGGUUCACAACCUAUUAAAUAAGCCGGCUGGUCUUCACCCUCCCAGACAAGUCAACUCAGGGGAGGCGGCAGGGUGCGGGCCUUGGCCCGCAGCCCUAGCCAGGGCCAGGGCCAGGGCCGGUGCCCGGGGCCGGGCUGUGAGGUGGGCAGGCAACAGCGGGCAAGACCAUCUCUGCAAGUGCAGCAUAGCCUCGGCCUAGGACAGCCGGAGUGCGUGGCCAAACCUGUGAGCAGAGGCACAGGUGGUGGCAGACAGUAGAGGCACCCCAUGGGGAACAUACUGACCUAUUGUGUGCGCCCCAGGGUCGACCUCGAGUUUGACCAGCAACAGGGGUUGCUGUGUCCCUCUGAAUCUGAGAUCUAUGAGGCAGGAGUUGGGGACAGGUUGGCAGGAGCGCCCAUGGCUGCUGCUGUACAGCCUGCUGAGGUGACUGUUGAAGUUGGUGAGGACCUCCAUAUGCACCACAUCUAUGACCGGGAGAUGCCUGAAGCUUUGGAGUUUAACCCUUCUGCCAAUCCAGAGGCAAGCACAAUAUUCCAGAGGAACUCGCAAACAGAUGCUUUGGAGUUUAACCCUUCUGCCAAUCCAGAGGCAAGCAAAAUAUUCCAGAGGAACUCUCAAACAGAUGUUGUAGAAAUAAGAAGAAGCAACUAUACAAACCAUGUAUCUACUGAGCGUUUCAGUCAAAAAUGCAGCUUGUGUUUGACAAUAUUCCUUGAUGACAGCACAGCCAGCCAGCAUUAUCUUACAAUGACAAUAAUAUCGUGAUUUUUGAAGUAAUGCACAUUCUUAUUUUACAGAGAUGCAGAUAGAUCUUUGAGCAUAUUUGAUGAACGGUUAUGCUCAUUUACGGUUUCCACCGUGCCCAUUACCCAGACAAGAAAUGGAGGUGGGAGUUUAAAUAACUACUCCUCCUCCAUUCCAUCGACUCCCAGCACCAGCCAGGAGGACCUUCAGAUCAGUGUUCCUCCCACUGCCAACACACCCACGUCCGUUUGCAAGCAGUCCGUGCGCUGGUCCAGCCUGUUUACAUCUGAGAAAGGGAGUGACCCAGACAAAGAGAAGAAAGCCCCGGAGAGUCAUGCUCACACCGUCGGGAGCGGCAGAGCCAUCCCCAUUAAACAGGGCGUGCUCUUAAAGCGAAGUGGGAAAUGGCUGAAGACAUGGAAAAAGAAACAUGUCACCCUGUGUUCCAAUGGCAUGCUCACCUAUUAUUCAAGCUUAGGUGAUUAUAUGAAGAAUAUUCAUAAAGAAGAGAUUGACCUUCGGACAUCUACCAUCAAAGUCCCAGGAAAGUGGCCACCCCUAGCCACAUCGGCCUGUGUGCCCAUCUCCAGCUCUAAAAGCAGUGGCCUAUCCAAGAACAUGAAUGGUCUACGUAUCUCAGCCAAUUCAGACACUGGGCUGGGUGACUCCAUAUGCAUGAGCCCCAGUAUCUCCAGCACCACCAGCCCCAAGCUCAGCCCGCCCCCACCUCCUCAUGCCAAUAAAAAGAAACACCUAAAGAAGAAAAGCACCAACAACUUAAAAGAUGAUGGCCUGUCCAGCACUGCUGAGGAACAAGAAGAAAAGUUUAUCAUUGUGUCCGUCACUGGCCAAACGUGGCACUUUAAAGCCACGACGUAUGAGGAGCGGGACGCCUGGGUCCAAGUCAUCCAGAGCCAGAUCCUGGCCAGCCUGCAGUCAUGUGAGAGCAGUAAAAGCAAGUUCCGGCUGACCAGCCAGAGCGAGGCCAUGGCCCUGCAGUCGAUCCAAAACAUGCGUGGGAACUCCCACUGUGUGGACUGUGAGACCCCGAACCCUAAGUGGGCCAGUUUGAACUUGGGAGUCCUCAUGUGUAUUGAAUGCUCAGGAAUCCACCGCAGUCUUGGCACCCGCCUUUCCCGUGUGCGAUCUCUGGACCUGGAUGACUGGCCAGUUGAGCUCAUGAAGGUUAUGUCGUCUAUUGGCAAUGACCUAGCCAACAGCAUCUGGGAAGGGAGCAGCCAGGGGCAGACAAAACCUUCAGUAGAGUCAUCAAGGGAAGAAAAGGAGCGGUGGAUCCAUUCCAAAUAUGAGAAGAAGCUCUUUCUGGCCCCAGUGCCCUGCACUGAGCUGUCCCUGGGCCAGCACCUGCUGCGGGCCACUGCUGAUGAGAACCUGCGGACAGUCAUCCUGCUGCUGGCACAUGGCUCCCGUGAGGAGGUGAACGAGACCUGUGGGGAGGGAGACGGCUGCACAGCGCUCCAUCUGGCCUGCCGCAAGGGGAAUGUGGUCCUGGCACAGCUCCUGAUCUGGUACGGGGUGGACGUCAUGGCCCGAGAUGCCCACGGGAACACAGCGCUGACCUAUGCCCGGCAGGCCUCCAGCCAGGAGUGCAUCAACGUGCUUCUGCAGUACGGCUGCCCCGACGAGUGCGUGUAGUAUCUGUUUUAUUUGACUGCAGUCUCCUUGGUGCAAAAAUAAAAUGGGAAAAA